ensembl:lncRNA
CAGGAUUAAUGUUGUGAGGGGAGACAUUAUAGAAUCACCUUUCAGAGCAUUUAGAACGAGGCAGUUCAACCCUAAUUGCAAAUUGGAUGUGGUGUUUUUUGCGCAUGUGGUUAAGGUGAAGGAGCAGUGGACAAUGGUGGACCCACCAGGGAAUUUCUGACCUUUCUAAUGAAGGAACUUUUGAACUCGCGUUAUUUUGUGGGGCCUGUAUGGAGGAAGAACCUGGGACUGGACUCCAUAGGGGAGUCAUGAGGACUUCAGAUGUGGACAGACCAGUAUGCAAUGUCCAUAAUGUAAGACGCUUAAGACAGUGCUACAGGGAGACAGGAAGGAAAGUGCCAAACUACAUAUGACCAUAUGAGAGUUGUUUGAGAAUUUGAAAGUGCCUUGGUGGAAGAGUGAUGUAAAAUUUCACAGAUUCAUCUAUUGCAGUCCAUGAAGAUGAGAUGUAUCAAGAUGUAGUUUUAUUUUGGUCUUUCAUAUUUAC